rnacentral:rRNA from 1 species
GAUGAACGCUGGCGGCGUGCCUAAUACAUGCAAGUCGAGCGAACAGACGAGGAGCUUGCUCCUCUGACGUUAGCGGCGGACGGGUGAGUAACACGUGGAUAACCUACCUAUAAGACUGGGAUAACUUCGGGAAACCGGAGCUAAUACCGGAUAAUCUAUUGCACCGCAUGGUUCAAUAGUGAAAGACGGUUUUGCUGUCACUUAUAGAUGGAUCCGCGCCGCAUUAGCUAGUUGGUAAGGUAACGGCUUACCAAGGCGACGAUGCGUAGCCGACCUGAGAGGGUGAUCGGCCACACUGGAACUGAGACAGGGACCAGACUCCUACGGGAGGCAGCAGAAGGGAAUCUUCCGCAAUGGGCGAAAGCCUGACGGAGCAACGCCGCGUGAGUGAUGAAGGUCUUCGGAUCGUAAAACUCUGUUAUUAGGGAAGAACAAAUGUAUAAGUAACUAUGCACGUCUUGACGGUACCUAAUCAGAAAGCCACGGCUAACUACGUG